rnacentral:rRNA from 1 species
UGCCUACGGGGCGCAGCAGUGAGGAAUAUUGGUCAAUGGCCGCAGGGCUGAACCAGCCAAGUCGCGUGAGGGAUGACGGUCCUAUGGAUUGUAAACUUCUUUUGUCAGGGAGCAAUUGAGUCCACGUGUGGUCUUAGCGAGAGUACCUGAAGAAAAAGCAUCGGCUAACUCCGUGCCAGCAGCCGCGGUAAUACGGAGGAUGCGAGCGUUAUCCGGAUUUAUUGGGUUUAAAGGGUGCGCAGGCGGCCUGUUAAGUCAGCGGUAAAAGCCCGGGGCUCAACCCCGGCGAGCCGUUGAAACUGGCG